rnacentral:miRNA from 1 species
GUUGGUGCAAAAGUAAUUGCGGUUUUUGCCACUGAAAAUAACAGCAAAAACCGCAAUUACUUUUG